GUGGACCGUGAAAUUGGGGUCAAAAUUAUAAUUUGAAAUUAUAAUUAGAAAGAUCAUAUCAUAGGGAACAUGUGUACUAAGUUUCAAGUUGAUGUAACUUUAACUUCAUCAAAAACUACCUUGACCAAAAGCUUUAACCUGAACUUCGCACUAUCAUUUUCUAUGUUCAGUGGACCAUGAAAUUGGGGUCAAAACUAUAAUUUGGCAUUAAAAUUAGAAAGAUCAUAUCAUGGGGAACAUGUGUACUAAGUUUCAAGUUGAUUGGACUUCAACUUCUUCAAAAACUACCUUGAUCAAAAACUUUAACCUGAAGCGAACGGACGGACGGACGCACAGACGAACGGAGGCACAGACCAGAAAACAUAAUGCCCCUCUACUAUCGUAGGUGGG
rnacentral:lncRNA from 1 species